GGCAGGGUGGUGCAGCGGAAGCGUGCUGGGCCCAUAACCCAGAGGUUAAUGGAUCGAAGUCAUCCUAUGCUA
rnacentral:tRNA from 1 species